rnacentral:rRNA from 1 species
GACGAACGCUGGCGGCGUGCUUAACACAUGCAAGUCGAACGGUGAAGGGACCGGUUUUUGCUGGUUCUGGAUGAGUGGCGAACGGGUGAGUAACACGUGAGUAACCUGCCCCCUUCUUCUGGAUAACCGCAUGAAAGUGUGGCUAAUACGGGAUAUUCUGCGCCUGCUGCAUGGUGGGUGUGGGAAAGAUAUUGUUUCGGUGGGGGAUGGGCUCGCGGCCUAUCAGCUUGUUGGUGGGGUGAUGGCCUACCAAGGCGGUGACGGGUAGCCGGCCUGAGAGGGUGGACGGUCACACUGGGACUGAGCCACGGCCCAGACUCCUACGGGAGGCAGCAGUGGGGAAUAUUGCACAAUGGGCGCAAGCCUGAUGCAGCGACGCCGCGUGAGGGAUGGAGGCCUUCGGGUUGUAAACCUCUUUCGCCAGUGAAGCAGGCCUGUCCCUUUUGUGGGUGGGUUGACGGUAGCUGGAGAAGAAGCGCCGGCUAACUACGUG